rnacentral:tRNA from 1 species
AGGACUAUAACUCAGUGGUAGAGUGUUUCCUUGACAUGGAAGAAGACACCGGUUCAAAUCCGGUUAGUCCUA